rnacentral:misc_RNA from 1 species
CAGUGAAACUAGAUGGCAAGUUGUGUACUCACAAAGACGUUUUUUCAUCACCACUAGUCUGCUUAUGUGCAUAAUUUCACUGGUAUGAACUCUAUUCUAAUUCGUAUUGCUUAAAACAAGAUAUCAUAAAUGAUUAUCAACAUAAAAUGCACUAAAAUGUCAGUUUUGUUCAAUUUCAAAAUUUAAACAUCCUUUUAUGUUCCCGCUGAUGAUAAUGCUUACAGAUGCUCAAUCCUUCUUGUUAUGUUUAUUUAUUUAAUUAUAUUCGACAAAACUAAGCUUGUAAAGAUAUGCACACCUUAAUAAAUCAGUCAACAUGGAGAAUCUUCAAUCCAAACAAUAAAGCAAUCAGCUGAGGAUGCUAAGUGAGCUAAUCUAUCUGUCAGCGCUAAGCGCAUUAGCAGCGGUAGGAAUGGCAGAAAAGCCGAAAGCAGCAUGCAAGCAAAGCAUAGCCCGCACAUCUUCAAUAAUCCUCCCUUCCAUUAAACCUGAUUAAUUCAAAAAGUAAGGUACUAACAAAUCUGCUUCAAAUCAAGCGGCUGGAAAUCCCAGGACAAUGCCUCAAUUGUUCAUCACAUUAAGGUAAACCACUCAAUUAGCUAAAAGUUUGUGCAGAAUAAUCCCAUUCAUAUCCUCCACUACCUCAACAAGCUGUAAAUUUAUUCUGCCAAAAAGAAAAUGAACAAAAAAAAAGGUGAAUAGUUGUAAUCAUAAGGGCUAAGUGAUGGCAAAUUCAGCAUAUGAAAACUAUUUUAAUACGGUAAAAAGAAUAGCAAUAAUAAGAUCAAGGUUCCCAUACCCAACUUAUAUUGAAGGUGAUUAUCCAACGAUGAUUAAGCAACAACAGUUCCAGAGCAUAACACCGUAAACAACGAGUUCUCACAUGAGAUUAUAUGUAGAUUCUACCUCCCACAAAAACAUUAUCAAAAAAUAAUGAGCACAUUAGCAAAGAAGGAAAAGAAAAAAGGGAACAAUUGCUUGGUUUGCUUGGCAGAGUGAGAAAAAGCAGAAAACUUGUCUUGGGAUGUUACUGCAAAUUUCAUUUUUGAGGUGCAUGGCUAAAUGAGCAACAUGGAUCAUGAUGAGCUUCUAUGAAGAAAGUUAAUGUAAAUUUGUUACACAUUAUCCAAAAUAAAAUGUUGUGGAGCUGAGUCAAUGAAUCAUGACAAGAACACACCUACUUUUCCUUAAAAUGUGAAUGUGACAAUGAAUUUGGCAAUCGGAAAUCUUAAAAGCCAGGGUUCUAUAAUCUUUUGUUAGUGGAAAGAAUGCAUUAUCCCUUGGACACAACAUAAAUGGAAUUUUUAGAUAUAAAUGAUUGUACCUCAACAUAUCGAAUAUCCUGCAGACAUAAGCAGCUUCAUCCUUCCAUCACCAUCCAGCACCAAAAAUUUCAGAUGCUUUUACAAUUUUAAAUGUUUCAAUUUCUCAAGAACCUGCUUCAUUGACGGCCGCACAGAAAGCGACUCUACUGUGCAGGUUGAAGCAAGCUUUAGCAUUCCCAACAGAUGCUCCUUAGGCCCUGCUUCCCAUAGUUCCACAGAGAAGAGCUCUGAAGAACGUCCCUCCUUGAUCAACAAUUUGGCCCAAGCAACAAUGUUGAAGCCAUUCCCAUACUCAGAAAAUGACGGAUCAAGGGAUUUCUUUCCUGACAUCAAUUCCAACAUCACUACACCAAAGCUAUAAACAUCUGACUUGUCAGAAACCCUGCAUGUGGUUGCAUAUUCUGGUGCGACAUAACCAAAUGUGCCAGCUACAUCUGUUGUGGCAUGGGUCUGAGAAACUUCUAAAAGCCUAGCCAAACCAAAGUCUGAUAGGUAGGCAUUAAGCUCCUCAUCCAGCAGGAUGUUACUAGGCUUAAUAUCCCGAUGAAGUAUUCGGGGCACACAUGAGUAGUGCAGGUAAGCUAAAGCAUGAGCUAUGUCAAGAGCUAUAUUGUAAAUCACCGACCAUUUUACACUUUUGCUUGACCUUUCAUGUAUGAAGGUUUGAAGGUUCCCACCAGAAAGAUAAUUGUAAAUUAAGAACAUUUCAGCUUCUCCCACAUAAUAUCCGAUCAAAGUCACAAGGUUCUUAUGUCGAAUUCUUCCCAGCGUUCUGAUCUCCGCAUCAAACUGUUGAAUUCCCUGAAAUCUGCCCAGGGAGAGCCGCUUUACUGCUACAAGGUAGCCUGGGGCCAAUUCUGCUUUGUAAGUUGACCCAAAGCCACCUGUGCCAAUGAGAUUCCUAGUACUGAAAUUCCCAGUUGCUCUGACCACACUGUCAUAGCUCAAUUCAGCUGGAGCAUCUGCAAAAGUCACUAGUACUUUGCCUCCCAAGUUUGAGAGUCUACCAAACUUUUUCCUUCCAUGAACACUGACUGCAACUACCACCAAGGAAAUACAAAGUACAAAGGAAGCAGAAACAACCACUGCAAUUAUAACAGUCUUCUUAUUUCUGUGUCUUUGCCAUUUUCCAUCUCCAUUUGAAUCAGGUGGUGAGUUAGAGGUUGGAUCUGGGCAUUGUUCCAGAAACAAAUUCCCUCUAAACCAAUCACAGUCAAUCGUAUGUUGAAGUUGGGGUAUAUGACCUGAAAGGUGAUUGAAAGAAACAUCUAACAUGGAAAGAUUGGAAAGGGUUGAGAAAGAUGAUGGUAUCUCCCCAGAAAGCGCAUUGUUGUUGAGUAACACGAUUUCAAGAUUUUGGGCAUUUGUCAAACUUUCAGGGAUGGUUCCUGUUAUGGCAUUAUGAGACAGAUCUAAAACUGUAAGAGAAUUCAACUGACCAAGUUCAGAUGGAAUACCUCCUGCUACAUUGUUGCUUCCCAUGAGAAUUGAUUUCACAAGUCUCAGAUUCCCUAACUGAUUAGGUAGAUUUCCAGAUAGUCUGUUUCCUCUCAAGUCUAAACAUUGAAGCUUCUUCAAGUUGCCAAUACUGGGAGGUAGUGAACCACUAAUCUGAUUAUAUGCUGCUUCAAACUGUGUCAUCGAUACACAACUAAGAUACAAUGAAUCAUGAAUCUCACCAGAUAUAUGGUUUGCACUCAAAUUCACAGAGAAGCUCAGCAGAUCAUUACAACUUGAGACUAAUUCAUCAGGAAAAGACCCAUUAAACAUGUUAUUGUUCAACAACAACCUGUAUGCAGGUUUAUUCUUAGUGGCCAAGAAUUCAUUUCCUACUGAGAACAAAGGCAACAAACCAGCAAAUUGGUUCCAACUAAAAUCAUGGUUAAUAACGAAGUCUUCAUCCAUCUUUGACCCCAAAGGAUUUCUCAUCUGAGGACCCCAGACCGGAAUGUUAGAGUAUGCAAUUUGUACAUCCUCCACAUCCAAAAAGUUAGGAUCUUGACCAAAAGAGAUCAUGCUAUUAUCACAACUGCCUUCACUAAAACUUGGAAGAACACCAGACAUAUUAUUUCGACUAACAUUGAAAUACACCAUACAAGAAACUUGCAGUCGCAUAGGAAGGUAACCCACCAAGUAAUUGGAACUCAAAUCCAAGAAAGUAAGGUUCUUACACACCCUCAAACCCUUUGGCACCACACCCUUGAAAGAAUUGAAGCCCAAAUGGAGAACUCUAAGUGAGCACGAAUCACUCCAAUUGCUAGGCAACCGUCCACCAAGAUUCCCUCUAGGUGCCCACAAAAUCUGCAAACUUGGAAGCAUCAAGACCUCAUAAGGAAUACCCUCAUCAAAAGCAUUGAACUCUAGCCCACUGCCAUUAUCCCAAUCACCGUUUCCAUUGCCAACAAAAUUGCUUGAAUUAGUUAACACCAAGACAGAGAGUUUUCGACAAUAACCCAACUCCUUUGGGAUCCUCUCAGUGAGACUAUUAGUGGAAACAUCGAGGACACGAAGCUCUGAAAUCUGACCAAUCUCAGACGGAAUCCUACCUUGUAAAAGGUUUCCAUCAAGCAACAAAAUCCUCAAAUUCUUGCACUGACCAAUCUCCUUGGGAAUACUCUUGUCCAAAAGGUUAUUAGAGAGCUUCAAGUGUCUCAAAAACAAACACUUACUUGAAUUAUCAAGUUUGAUCUCACCAGUAAGCAGAUUAUUGGAUAAAUCAAUAGCUUGCAAUUUCCCAUAGCCAAUUAAACUAGCUGGAAUUUCACCAGUGAACGAAUUAAACGAUAAAUUAAGCACCCUAAGAGACUGAAGAAUGCUUAUCUGAUCAGGAAUUCUCCCGGACAAGUUAUUUCCUUGAAGCUCCAAAACCUCCAAAAACUGAAGCUUGCUCAAACUCACUGGAAUCUCACCGAAAAAAGCGUUGUGAGGAAUGACCAAAGCUCUCAACUCCGUCAGGUCACCAAUAGAAUCAGGCAGAGUUCCGGCGAGGAAUGACGUCAAACUGCCAGCAGUGAAGUUCAAGGCAAUAACUCUCCUAGAAAAUUCAUCACAGGCGACUCCAUACCAGCUGCAGCAAUCACUAUUUGGGGUCCAACCACCAAGAAGAUUUGAAGGGUCUAGAGAAAUCGACUCCUUGAAAUCAAGAAGUGCGGCGGUGUCGUUAAGAACGGGAGGUUCAACCAAUGUGGAACUUACCACAGAAGAGGCCAAAGCAACAAAAAGAAACCAAGUAACCACCAUUCUUCUCCUACCAACGAGGCUCGCCGGACCCAGAGAAAAAAGUCACCGCCGACGAGAUGAGUCCGUUGAAGAAAAAGUAACGAACAAAAUUUAAAAAGGGUAACCGACGUUCGGCUUGGAGCCAAAACGGUAAAGUUCUGGUUGUUUAAGUGUUUAAAGCUUAAAGAAAAGACAUAGUUAGGAAGAUGAUUAAGGUGUAAUCAAGAAGAUAGUGAAAAAGGGCAAAAUGAAAAAAUGCAAUAGCCGGAGAAAGCAAGAAAAGGAAAAUGAAAGGAAGCUGUUGCUGGGUUGGCUCUCUC